rnacentral:rRNA from 1 species
AACGAACGCUGGCGGCAUGCCUAAUACAUGCAAGUCGAACGAGAUCUUCGGAUCUAGUGGCGCACGGGUGCGUAACGCGUGGGAAUCUACCCUUGGGUUCGGAAUAACAGUUAGAAAUGACUGCUAAUACCGGAUGAUGACGUAAGUCCAAAGAUUUAUCGCCCAAGGAUGAGCCCGCGUAAGAUUAGCUAGUUGGUGAGGUAAAGGCUCACCAAGGCUACGAUCUUUAGCUGGUCUGAGAGGAUGAUCAGCCACACUGGGACUGAGACACGGCCCAGACUCCUACGGGAGGCAGCAGUAGGGAAUAUUGGACAAUGGGCGAAAGCCUGAUCCAGCAAUGCCGCGUGAGUGAUGAAGGCCUUAGGGUUGUAAAGCUCUUUACCCGAGAUGAUAAUGACAGUAUCGGGAGAAUAAGCUCCGGCUAACUCCGUG